rnacentral:rRNA from 2 species
GGAUGAACGCUGGCGGCGUGCCUAAUACAUGCAAGUCGAGCGAACAGACGAGGAGCUUGCUCCUCUGACGUAGCGGCGGACGGGUGAGUAACACGUGGAUAACCUACCUAUAAGACUGGGAUAACUUCGGGAAACCGGAGCUAAUACCGGAUAACAUGUUGAACCGCAUGGUUCAACAGUGAAAGACGGUCUUGCUGUCACUUAUAGAUGGAUCCGCGCCGCAUUAGCUAGUUGGUAAGGUAACGGCUUACCAAGGCAACGAUGCGUAGCCGACCUGAGAGGGUGAUCGGCCACACUGGAACUGAGACACGGUCCAGACUCCUACGGGAGGCAGCAGUAGGGAAUCUUCCGCAAUGGGCGAAAGCCUGACGGAGCAACGCCGCGUGAGUGAAGAAGGUCUUCGGAUCGUAAAACUCUGUUAUUAGGGAAGAACAAAUGUGUAAGUAACUAUGCACGUCUUGACGGUACCUAAUCAGAAAGCCACGGCUAACUACGUGCCAGCAGCCGCGGUAAUACGUAGGUGGCAAGCGUUAUCCGGAAUUAUUGGGCGUAAAGCGCGCGUAGGCGGUUUUUUAAGUCUGAUGUGAAAGCCCACGGCUCAACCGUGGAGGGUCAUUGGAAACUGGAAAACUUGAGUGCAGAAGAGGAAAGUGGAAUUCCAUGUGUAGCGGUGAAAUGCGCAGAGAUAUGGAGGAACACCAGUGGCGAAGGCGACUUUCUGGUCUGUAACUGACGCUGAUGUGCGAAAGCGUGGGGAUCAAACAGGAUUAGAUACCCUGGUAGUCCACGCCGUAAACGAUGAGUGCUAAGUGUUAGGGGGUUUCCGCCCCUUAGUGCUGCAGCUAACGCAUUAAGCACUCCGCCUGGAGACACCGAGUUGU